GACGAACGCUGGCGGCGUGCUUAACACAUGCAAGUCGAACGGAAAGGCCCUGCUUUUGUGGGGUGCUCGAGUGGCGAACGGGUGAGUAACACGUGAGUAACCUGCCCUUGACUUUGGGAUAACUUCAGGAAACUGGGGCUAAUACCGGAUAGGAGCUCCUGCUGCUUUGUGUUGGUUGGUAAGUUUCGGCUGUUGGGGAUUGACUCGCGGCUUAUCAGCUUGUUGGUUGGGUAGUGGCUUACCAAGGCUUUGACGGGUAGCCGGCCUGAGAGGGUGACCGGCCAAAGUGGGACUGAGAGACGGCACAGAAGCAAACGGGAGGAAGCAGUGGGGAAUAUUGCACAAUGGGAGGAAGCCUGAUGAAGAAAAGCAGCGUGCGGGAUGACGGCCUUCGGGUUGUAAACAGAUUUAGAAUGUGAAGAAGAGUGAGUGACGGUAAUGGGUAAAGAAGCACCGGCUAACUACGUG
rnacentral:rRNA from 1 species